rnacentral:lncRNA from 1 species
AAUAAAGGAAGAUAAAAACGAAUAAAGUAAACAAAAGAUAGAACAAAGUAAAAAAAAAAAAUAAAAUAAAAAAUUACUAUAUUAAAUAUCGUAAUAAAAGUUUCCAAUUUCAUUUUAAGAAACGUUUAAAUAAACGACAGAAUGGAUCAAAGAGCGUAUGAUUGCUCAAACGAAGAAAUAGGUAUCGAAAUGGAACAUGUGGAAAGUAAAAAAAGCAAAAACUAUGUUUACUUAGAUAGUAAUUAUGAUAGUAUUUAUUCAUCUGAAAUAUAUAAAAACAAUGGGGGAAUGUUAAAUAAUAAUUAUGCCUUACCAUCAAAUUAUAAUGAUAAUAGUAAUAAUAUUGUUAGUGAUAAGAACAUAACAAAUAACAGUUAUAACAAUACUAAUGUUAUAAGUAGCAAUGAUAAUAAUAUUACUAAUAGUCAUACUAACUUUGAUGGUAAUACUAAUGUUCAGAACAACAUAAGUGAUUAUUCACAUAUAAAUAAUUACAAUUAUGAAAAAAAAAUAAAAAAAUCUGAUAACAAAAAAUCAGAUAAUAAAAAAUCAGAUAACAAAAAAUCAAAUAACAAAAAAUCAGAUAACAAAAAAUCAGAGAGAGCUAAAUUAAUAAAUAAUGAUUUCUACAAUAUCAAUAAUAUUACAUCUUAUGCUGAUGAACUUAUAAAUAAUGAAGAAGCACAUUAUAAAUUUGAAAAUAAAUAUAAUCAUGAAAUUGAUUUAGAAAAAAAUACUAUACUAAAUAAAUCUGACAGUGAUAUGCUUUUUACUAAUAGAAGGACCAGGAGAAAAUCUAAAAUAUACACAGUUUUUAAGAUAUUAUUAAUUAUAGCAUUAGCUUUUAUAGCUACUUAUGUAAUUUUUAAUUUUAAUAGUAUCCUUACAAUGUUAAACCUCGUUAUUCAAUGGGUAGAAAAACAAAAAUCAUGGAGUAUUAUUUUAUAUUUGUUAAUUUUCACAUGUACUAUUCCUUUGUUUAUGUCAGUUGAAAUUAUGUGCGUAGCGGCAGGAUUAAUUUUUUCAGGUGUAUAUGGUAAAGCACUUGGUAUUCUUGUAGCUGUAUGCUCAGUUUUUGUUGGCUAUGUUUUAGCCAUGUCGAUAUGUUUUGUCAUAUCAAGAUAUUUAUUACAUGAUUAUAUAUAUAAAAAACUAAUGAAAUAUCCUAUAUAUUUAGCAUUUAAUCAAGCUAUUAAUACAAAUGGACUUUCCUUUGUCCUCCUUAUUCGUUUAUCCCCUAUUCUACCUGCAUCACUAGUCAGUUAUAUAUUAGGAGUCACAUCUGUAAAAUAUAAACACUUUGCCUUGGGCUCGAUCACAGCGCUGCCUAGUAAUACUGAUGCUACAACAAAAAAAAAUAAAAAU